AGAGAGAGACACACCGCGCAGGACUGAAAAUGGUCUAAGGGGAUUCAUGACAGAUUUCAGAAACCAUGAUGAACAGAAUGGCCCCAGAGAAUCCCUAGCUAGACUCUUUCAUCAACAGGAAUGAUUCCAACAUGAAGGUGAUACCACCACAGGAUCCAGCUAGUCCCAGUUUCACUCUGUCAUCCAAACUGGAGUGCAGUGGUGCAGUCUUGGCUCACUGCAGCCUCAACCUCCCAGGUUCAAGUGAUCCUCCCACCUUAGCCUCCCAAGUAUCUGGGACUACAGCAAUAUGGAGAAGGCAUCAAGAAUGUACUUCAUUCACCCGCCAACAGUAUAAAGAACUAGAAGCUCUGUUUAGCCAGACCAUGUUCCCAGACAGAAAUCUUCAGGAGAAACUAGCUUUGAAACUCAACCUACCAGAGUCAACAGUAAAGAACCCAGUGUCAUGGUAAAUUGGAGAGGAUGUGAGAUGAUAACCUGGCUGUUUUCACUCAGGAGAAGCCUGGAAUGCCUUCUCCAAGAACAGACCACAAUCUCCCCUCUUCCCCCACUCCCAGGUUUGGUUUAGGAACCGGCGAUUCAAAUUGAAGCAGCAGCAGCAGCAGCAGCAGCAAUCAGCAAAGCAACCAAACCAGAUACCUUCCAUCCAAGAAGAAUGUGCCCACCUCCCCCAGAACAUCCCCCAGUGCUUAUGCUUUUUCUCCCGUGGUUUCAGAUUUCUACAGCUCCCUUCCACCUCAGCUCUUAGACCCUUCCAAUUGGGCAUGGAACUCUACCUUCACUGAGAGUCCCACAAGUGACUUCCAAAUGCAAGAUACUCAGUGGGAGAGGCUGGUGGCCUCAGUUCCUGCUUUGUACUCUGAUGCCUAUGACAUAUCCCAAAUCAUAGAACUGUAUAAUCUUCCUGAUGAGAAUGAGAUAUCCAGCUCUUCUUUCCACUGUCUGUAUCAGUAUCUCUCACUCACAAAGUACCAGGUAGGAGGACAGGGUUCCUCUCUCAGCACCUUUGCUGGUCUAGCUGUAGGCCUAUCUCCCACACAAACCUGGCCCAGUAUGAUAAGGCAAGGCUUUAAAGACUACAGUCUAACAGACAGCCUGGAAUUCCAGAAAACCUCCAAUAUGGUAGACUUUGGAUUUCUCUGACUAGAGUACUAAUAAAUAUGGACCAUUUAGAAAAGAGGUCUUCUUGCAUCUUACACAUGAA
rnacentral:lncRNA from 1 species